AACUUACAAAAGUGUGAAGAACCACUGUGUGUGACCCAGCAUCCAUCUUGGGUGGAGCCCCUCAGAGGCUUUUGACUCCCAAGGUGUACCUUUGAUGGCCCUUCAAAUAAACACCUGCUGUUAUUCUCUUAACUUUGUCUAGCCUCUGUUUUCAGGUAGCCACUUCAAGGCAUCAGUUCAAUACACAAAAUACGUAGAGGAAGAGCUGGUUCCUGCUCAAUAACAAUGUUCCAUUUUAAGCAGUCUCAGGUUAAAGGGGAAAACAAUAUGAUGCCAUAUCACUCUAAUCCAUUCAUCUCCUGGAGGAAUGAUGCUGAAAUCUUGCUUCAAAGGCUCUGUGUGGGAAUUACGUCCUGAAGCCUGGAUAUUCUCCAAGACUUAAUUAAGCUUAUUCAUAGAAACCCUAAACUUUAUGGAGUGGACAGCAGACCUCUAAAUUUGGCACUAAGUGCAGAGAGGGUAUUGUUUCUGCACACUCUGAUUAGCAACACUGAGCACAGACAUACACUUUGUAAUAAUUAGUAAAAUGGACAGGAAUUAAAGCAAGCUUUGCUCUGAAAACAAACCAGAUGAGCUAAACAAGUCAUCUUCCUAUCUGCAUUUUUCUCUCUUAAGUAAGGUUUCAUUUUGCGUGGUGUUGGGUUAUGUCAUGUGGGAUGUAUCUUCUCUGUCUCCCCUCUAGAACUUAUUUCUGGGCUGAAGUCCACAGCAGCAGAUUUGAGACAAAAGUCUGUGUCUCUUCCAAUACCAUCUUGCCCUGCAAGAUGAAGAAAACAAGGCUGAGCAAUGGCAUUGAACCAGCAAGAGUAAGAUUAGGUUAGUGCCUCACAUACACUUUUGCCAAUCUCAGAGAAAUCUGAAUCCAAAGAUCUUUGUUGCUAGUAUUACCUAUGCUUUGGAGGUUUCUUUUGCCCAUUUUUCCUCCCCCAAGCAAUAGGGCUGAGAAAUUAACUCCUAAAAUUACGACUCGAAUUAUUAGUGUAAUAUUUGUAAGGUGUCUGAGCUUGUGUGAUAGCAAACUAUUGUUCAGUUGGCUUAAGCAAUAAAGGGUACUUUUUUAUUUGGUAGAAAAGCAGGUGAGACUUCAAAACCAGUUGAAACCAAUGUGUGCUGCUGCCUUCAUGGAUUUGUUUAGUUUGGAGUCUUCCUUCUGAAGAGCCAGCAGCGCAAGAGGGUCACAAAAGUGAUUUAGAGGGCUUUUUUGUUGGCAUUUGAGGGGUUUUUAAAAUUGUUUUGCUUUAAUUGCAGAUCAGUUUAGAAGAAAUAAGAUUCUUCAGUAAUAUUUCCUUUUUAGAAAGCUCCUGUAUAAGUGAAACUGAAGGGUUUGCUUGAGUUUUUUUAAGAGCUCUACCUUGAAGGAGUAUUUCCUUAUUUUUGGUAUUACUUAGGAUUUAUGUAUCAGGAGAUUCUUUUUUUUAUACAACUUUUCUCACAGCAUCUUAUUUAAGUGUGCAAAAAAGCUGAACAGAAGUAUCAUUUGGACAGAGCAAGUUGCGUGCUUUGCUUUUGUCACAGUUUUGUCAGUGUUGGGGCAAAUUGCAAAAUGUCUUCUGUUCAGAAUUUUUUCCACCCAGAAUUCCACUGCAGAUUAGUUUUGAAACUUGCUGCUCAAAGGAAUUUAAGAAAAAAUAUCCUAUGUAAAAUUUUAAAAACUUUUGGUAGUGUUAACAGAUAGAAAUGUUGAUUGACUUAAUUUUUUUAAUGUAAGUCAUAACAUUUAGACAUGCAAAAAUAUAAGUGCUUUUUAAAAUGUAAAAUGGCUCUAUGAGACUGCUUAACUGUCUGUGCGUGACAUCUCUAGGCUGCUUAAGUACUGUUUGCUUUGUUAGUGAGAUGAAACAAGGAUUUGAGAAUGAAAGACAGUCGUGGUCUGGAGAAGCAAUUGUUAUCAGUGAACUUUGUUUCUUGGAAAACAAAGCCCUGAGAGCUGGAAACUUUGGCUUUGACAUAUUGGAGCCCAUGUUUCACACAGAUGUGCAGGCCCUGUUCUGAUGACCAAGGGUCACUAUGGGUUUCAGUGAGCUAUUUCAACUUCCAUCCUGCUUGAAAUUGUGCACCUUCCUCCUGUCUGUGCUUGAAUAAUAAGGAGAGAACCACAGGCUGGAAAGCAGCUUAACUAAUCCACGUUAAAGAGGCUGCAGUUUGGGAUAGCUGAGGUCUCCUUACUAUGGCAAUUGCCUACCCAAGUGUGGAGUGUGAGUGAAGUGUCAUUACAGCAUUCACAAGUCUUGCGGCUGCUAACAUGAUAUUGGAAGAUUUUAAUCUAACAUAGAACAAAUAUCAUCAUCAUCUUUCACAUCUCUGAAAGCAGCAAUGUGCUCUGUGUCUUUUAUGUCUGAUUCUUGCAGGCUCUUUGAAUGCGUAUCUUAUGCCCUGUAUCCUGCUUUUGAAUUUGCAGUGCAGUAUCAUAACACUCCAUCUUUCAGUGAAAGAGCCAGCUGUAGGAUGAAGCCUAGUAAAAACCUCAGGGUUACACUCUCUAUCUGAACUGCUUUAGAGAUCAACCCAGCUGAAUUCUAAUUUAGAGAAAAAAGCUUCCCAUGCUACAUUUGCAUUGUACACACUUAUGGAGCUUUGUAAGAGUUGAUCUUGAAGUGUCCUUUAGGCUGAUUGUUCUGUUUUUAUGAAAAUUUUGCUUGUGAGAGCCCUUGGACACACACUAGUGAGGAAAGAGAUAAAUAGAAGUAGACCACAGAAUUCUGAAUCUAAAUUAUAUCAUAUAUCAGGAGAAUAAACUUUGUAAUUAAAUAUAUGAGCAACUCUAUCCAAGCCUCUUCAAAGCUCCGAUUUGAAGUUCAAUAGUGUGGUGCUAGCCCAUCUUGAAUCAUGUGUCCAUCAAAAAAUUCAAGGUCAAGAAGCUCAGGUCUACCAAUUAGUUCCUUUUUGGUUGGGAAUGCUUGUAAGAAGGCUCUUUAUUUUUAGUGUCUGACAUUGGAGAUUGGAACUGGAGUGGGUGGAGGGAUGGAGGUCCUUGCAAAAAACAUCAGACCAAGUGACAGUGCUGCUUGCCUGAGGAAGGACAUGAUGGUGCUUGGCUGCCAGAGUCCUGGACAGCUGCUGGCUGAGCAGUGUCUGAGUGGAGAUUAAUGCAGGGGUAUUUCCUUUCUGUACCUUUUUAUUGAGCACAGUUUUAUGGGCAGAAGUCAUUUCAGCAAAUCUAGGAAGAUUUGUGUUCUUUCUCUGCCCUUUGGCUUAAGGGUGUAGUUAUCUGAAAACGGAAAAUACCACUGUAAAAAACUAAAAUCACAACCCUCUGUAACAGGUCACCAGCCUGCCUGUAAAGAAGUGGCCGUGUGUGAGAGGGAUGUCUGUCACUGGGGCAGGCAGCAGGGAAGUCUCAUCAACUGCUUGGUUAAUGGCAGCAUCCUGAGCUGUCAGGCUCAUUAGGGACACGCUGCUAAUUUGGUCAGGCAAGGGCUGCCAGGCUGCAUUGUGUGGGGUUAACCAGCGUGAAUAGAGCCCGUAAGCAAAGCUGCUGGAAUCUGCUUUUGUGUUCCCUUUGGAUGCCUGUCCUCUGCUUUUGGCUUCUUUUCCAGUUCAAAGUGGCCACGUGGAGUUUUGGCACGGUGAAUGCUGUCCGUAGAUGAGUUAUAGAUUGCAGAAGUGAGCUAACUUGUGCUGAGAGGAGUUACCCACCUUCUCUUCUCAGCUGUUUUUGCAUACAUUCACUUAGAGUGUCAAUUCACUACUUCAUGUGACUUAAUUAGAAAUGGAUUAAGCCCUUUCUCUUUAAAACCCAAUUUGAACUGCUUAUAGGUAUUUUCCUUAUCAUCCCUGCUCACAUGUGCUAGGCACUGGCUAUAUAGCAAUUAAAGUUUGCAUUACUUUUCUACUGUCAAAAGAUAACCUUCCUUCCCUUCCACAAGCCAUGGAGUCCUACAGGUGGGUUUGGAGGCCUGACAGUUGUGCCUUCCACACGCACUCCAGUCCCUGAAAGAGCUGGGAGGUUGUGGGCUGACCCUUUGGACACAGGAGAUUGGUGGUGGGGAAAACGUUCCCUGUGUAGCCUGGCUGGGUGGGUGUGUUGGCUCCAUGUGUGCCUGGCUGGAGCAAUUUCUCAUGGGAUUAUUGUAAAAGGUUGAGCAAGGAGAAGAGAUUGUUUUCAUCUCAUAAAAGGAACAACCAGAUUGUUUCACUGCUGUCUCUCCCCAGCGUGCGUCAGAAUAUACUGUUAAUUUAGGAGUUGGAACCCAGUGGAGGAUUUUCUGAUUCUCUACCAUGUGUUUGCCUUUGUGACUCCAGUUUCUCUCUCAUCCUUUGGGGAUGUUCUUCCCUGACAUCUUCAGCCUUACCACAACUUAUUUUUGUUUCUGCCAGAGAAAACACUGAAAUUAAUAAUUUUUGGUAACCAUUUUCUACAUCUUCAUCUGAUUGAUCUGAUUAUGUUAAGAAUGAGUCAAAUACUCCAUUAAGAGUUUCAAAUGCUAUCAGAACUGAAGCAGAAAGAGGUUUCCCAGGAGACUGACUGUGUGUGCCUGUGUGGAGCAGACUUGGCAGGGAAUUGGCCUGCACAAUUCCCUGGCAGAGAGCAGCACAGCUCUGGCAGUUCUGUCACCAGAUACCUGGGGUGAUCCUGAGCUGUGAAUAGACACCUGGUGGGUCAGGCUUUUAUAUCACACUGGGGGCUACCCUGCCCUCAAGAAACAAGGGGAAAUCAUGUCUCUGCCUGUUCAUGUACAGGGAUAUUGAUUUAAUGCAGUGCCCCAUUUUGGGAAACUGUUUUUCCAAGGGUGGAAAAAUGCUUGCUCUGUGGGAGGGAAUACUUCUUGCAAACAAGCACUGAAUUUCCUCAUUUUACUUUACUAGGGAUUUCUAUGAGAAAAUAAGGCUGGAGGGGGGAAGUUUGGAAUGAUUCUGGGAAGCUUUGACUCAGAAAAUGGAGAAUGAUUCAUAUUAUUACUGUUAUUUAUAAAGGAGAACAGACCAUGAACCUGAUCUUUUACUUAUCUUUGGAAACUUCAAGCAUUUAUGCUGUGACCCCAAAAGAGUUUCUGGGUUUGAACCAAGGUCUUUCAACAUAAAAGCUAAAUCCCAGCUGUGGGAGCUGGCCUAUAACAUUUUAAGAAGAUUUAUUCCUAUUACCUUCAUACUUGAUAAAUAUUUUAAUAUCCUCAGUGCAUCCCUUCUCUGUUUGUGAAACCAGGUGGUAAAUAAGUCUUGAAACUUGGCACUUUCUGUGCUGUGACAAUGGAAAACUGACAAUGUCAGUUGUAAUCUCUGGUUAUUGCUGGAGUCUCAAUGUAGAGGUCAUUCAUUUGAGAGUCAGUCUAGUUUUGAUGGGGAGAAUUUGAUUACUGAGAAAAGCAGUAUGUUUAGUUGCAACCUUUUUUGUCUUUUUAAUUUGGGCAUAAACAUUUACUUCUCCAAAAAUAAUUGCUGUUAAUAAUCAAAACCUAAGAUAAUCAAAGGUGUACAUUAGAAAGAAGGUUUUAAGCUCCAGCUUAAGAUAAUAACUUAUCUGUGAGGUGAUUUACAUUUGUGUUUGUAUUCUGCUACUAUGAAAAAAAGGUAAGUGCAACCUAAACAUGUUUUAAUUAUAUUUGGCAAGAGAAUUUAAAUAAAGGAAAAAUCAAAACUCGACACAGUCUAUGUCACACCUGUAAUUUCACUCUUGUACUUCAGAAGUAGUAUAACUUAAUCUUUUAGCUAAUUCCUUAGGUCAGUUUUUAAAAAAUCAAUCAGACAAGAUUCUGUCCAUUUUAUGAAAAUGGAAAGGCACUUGGCUGUGGCCACAGUUUUAUCUUCUCCACUUGUAGGAUAAUACUGUGCACCUUUGGGUAUGCUGUCAGUGGCUGAGAGUCAGAGAAGUUAAAAGAAAGUUUUAACUUGUAGGUUUUAACUUUUAGAGUUAGAGAUUGGAACAAAUAUCUCCAUUAUCCUCCUGAAAAAUCCUGUUAGCAAAGCAGUCCCAUCAUAUCUGAGCUACUGGCUUGAAUAUUGCUUGUAUUAUCUGUUAAAGUAUAGCAGCUUAAUCUCAGCAGCGAUUGAGAAGGGAUGCAAAGACUCUGCUAGUGAGAAAAAAUGUAUAGAAAGGACAAAUUGUCACAGCAAGUAUAGAAACUUGAAUUCAGACUGUAUUUUACUGCACUGGGGAAGGCAGAAGUCCUCAACUUUCACAGCUGUGAAUCAAACACUUCUGACCAACUUAACACCUAUCCCAGAAGGAUUUCCUUAUAGGCUCAAGAAAACUGAUUUAUGUCAGUAGCUGGACACUGACAUAAAUCAGUGUGCAAAGUUAAGAAGUCUCCAGGGCUUUGGAUAAUCAACAGAAAUCUUAAUUAUGUUCAACCCCAGAUAAGAAUUUAUCAGUAAUUACAGACAUUUAGUUGACAGGUAAGCCGUCCUGUGAGGUCACCAAAAAACAUUUCUUGGUUAAUAUCUAUUAAUAGAGUUGAAAGUUUUCUUUGCUUAAGGGUCCAAAGUAAUGUCAACCACAUGGCCACGGAAGAGAUGUGAUAAGGCAUCGAAAAUCCAUCAGUAUUUUCUUCAUAAAGCUGCAAAAUAAACACGCUGAACUCUCCUGUAGUCAAUUUAUGCCUGAAAUCAACUUGUCCAGUGUCCUGUCAGAGAAUCUGGGUAACUGUUGUGGUAGAAAUAAGAUCCUCUGUCAGGAUUGUAAAUACCUUCCAAAACUGAACUCGUACAGUGAGCCAUGCACUCAAACACUGGAGUCUGUGGGUGAAGUUACAGGGAGGGGCUGUAUAAGAACAAACAUAUGUCAAACAUAUUGUAUAGGUUUCCUCCUACUGGGCCUGGACUUCGUAGCUCACUUAGGUUGCCAGAAUUAAACACGAUACACAGUUUGUGGCUUUUGUGUCGUAUUUCUUAAUGCAAUGCCUGAUGUCCAGAUCAUAUCCUGCAGAAAAAUACAGGGAUCCAUAGUUACCCUACCAAGUGGCCUGUCUCCUGUCCUUGAUUUGACCCCUGGUAUUCUCCUUGGCUAUUCCCAUCUCCCUCCCCAAAUCAGCAAUCUGCAUAAAGAAAAUGAGCAUCAAGAUUUUUCCCAGCAAGAAGUAUCCUCAUAAUGAGACCAAAAGCUCCAUUUCAUGGAAACAUUUUGUGAGUCAACAUGCUAAAAUCCACAGUUCAGGCAGUACAUCCCAAAGAUCAUUAUUAAGUACUGUGGUUAAAAACUGUUUUCUUGGGAGUGAUUUUGCUGCUUGGUCAAAUCUCUCACAGGUGCGGUCUAUUAGGAAGUCCAGACCACUUCCUAUUAACAAGCAAGCAAGAACAAUCCAAAGGAUAGCAAUGAUCUGUUGCCUUGCCAGCAGGGAAAGCCCAAGAGAAGACUUGGACUUCAGUGGAACUAGAAUCUGGGGGGAAAAAUCCAUAGUCUAUAAUGGGAUUUUUGGAAGGAACCAUUUAUUCUGUAGAAAAUUGUCCAGUCAAAAGAAAUGGUAAGUUUAAGGAACAGGCAGAAGGAAAGGCUCAGGCAACCCAGACUGGUUACUGAAUUGAAUGCAGCCUUCUCUUUGUGUAGUAUGGGUGGGCCUGAGAAGAGAUUUAAGUCAUCUGCUAUGCAACAUGAUUUACUUUGCCACAGCGAAUUUAAUCUGCAGCAGUCAACACUGAUUGUUCAGGUUGGGUAACUCCAGCAUUUGCAAUCUGAGAAUGCAGCCCCCCUCUUUUUUUUUUUUCUUUUUUUUCUUUUUUUUUUUUUUUAAUUGAAGAUGGUCAAAAGAAUCCAAAUUACAGGGACCUUCCUCACCUGAGAGGCACAGAGUUUGGAAUGAGAAUUCAAGUACCAGCAAGAAGCAUCCAGAAGAGCCUGUGGAAGCAGCUACCUGGACCAGCCCUCUCACUGUUUUCCACCUGCAGCCUCAUGAGCCUUGUCUCCAAAUAGCUGCGUUUGGGCUUUCUCCUGGCACUGAGUACUCUGCACGUUAUUAAACAUUUUCCCAUCUGG